AGGUGUGGAAGUCCACAGUCAGCAAUGAUCUUGGCAGGCUAAGAAUGAGCCUGAGCAAGUGUCUGAGUAAAGUCCUUUCUUAGCUACAAUUCCAGCUCCACUAGACAAGGAGGGUGAAGGGAAAUUAAAGACACCGUCAGAACAAAAGAGAACCAGAGUCCAGAGGAGCAAUUUACAAUCCGCUUCCCGAAAUCAGCGGAAAACUCCUGACGGGAGUUCAGUUCGGCCACUCCUAAAUCUGGCUAUAUAAAUUAUUCACUAUAUCCUACUCCCUCCAUUCACCACCUUUCAGAUAAGACACGGAACCCAAAGAAUUCAAGGAUGGUGUGCCCGUGUUCACACAGUUCCUAAGCGGCAAGAUGGGAAUUUGAAUAGAACCCGCCUGACAAAAGUCUGAAUUAACGCUCUUCUCCAAAAUGCCUAAAUGGAUGUGGUGUAGACAUGUGCAGAGACAGGAUGCUAGAAUAAAGCCUAGAAGAACACAGAUAGCGUCUGGUCUUCCGAGAAAACGAGACUAGAAGAAUGUGAAAGGCUGUCCUCCAUGGGUUCUGUCACUUCCCCGUGCGAUCAGCCCUCCGCCAGUCAACUCGGGUCGGCCAUGCACAGCCCAUCCCCCACCCCACAGCUCUUCCCCAACCUCUGGGAACCUCUGCCCCCCAACUGUGAGCACAGGGGAGGGAGUCCAGGUGGGUACCCACCUUUGACUCUGGGCUUCCCUCCCCCAGGAGACCCAACCAGCUCUCGCUGGAAUCCUGAGAGCUGGUGGGGCCAACAGCCAUCCUGUGGCCCCCUGGGGGCUGAGGAAGGGCCACCAUCAUGGACGCAGAGCUGGAAGAAAAUGCCCAUAUGAUGGAAUCAGAAGCAGUGAAAGCUGAAUUUAGGUUUUUGGUCCAUCUGCACUCUUAGAGAGGAGCAGAGGCCUAAAGCUUUCUGAGAGUCUUCCAGAAAACUGAGCAGAGGUGAGUGCAGCCUCACCCUGUGGUGCUACAUCAUCCCAUCUUUGAAUAAAAGGAACCCUUUCCCGUGGCUCCUGUCUCCUUCGGACGCAACUCGGUCGGUCUUUCGAGCUUCCUUGUGUUCCUGUACAAAACAUGCCCCUGCCUCAUCUUGUGAACCAGAUUCCCCCCACCUGGAAUCAGCAGGGUUUCCAAGGAUCCGUGCCGACUGUCCUGGGGCAGGAUUGCCAGAUCACAGUUCUGUUCCGAGCCUCUGCUCGCCGCUGCCUGUUUGGUAUAAUGUGAGGACUUUUCCAGAGAACCAGAAGACAGGUACUU